rnacentral:rRNA from 1 species
AUUUAUGUCCUAAAACCCCCUAAAGAUAUCAAAUCCUAUUUGAUCCUGGAAGCUAAGCAUGGUUGUCCCUGCUUAGUACUUGGAUGAUAGACCACCAAGAAAUAACAGGUGCUAUAGGCC